GAAACAGGUGCUGCAUGGCUGUCGUCAGCUCGUGUUGUGAAAUGUUGGGUUAAGUCCCGCAACGAGCGCAACCCUUAUCCUUUGUUGCCAGCGGUUCGGCCGGGAACUCAAAGGAAACUGCCGGUGAUAAACCGGAGGAAGGGGGGGAUGACGUCAAGUCAUCAUGGCCCUUACGAGCAGGGCUACACACGUGCUACAAUGGCGCAUACAAAGAGAAGCCACCUCCCGAGAGCAAGCGGACCUCAUAAAGUGCGUCGUAGUCCGGAUUGGAGUCUGCAACUCGACUCCAUGAAGUCGGAA
rnacentral:rRNA from 1 species